GAUGAAGAACGCAGCGAAAUGCGAUACGUAAUGUGAAUUGCAGAAUUCAGUGAAUCAUCGAAUCUUUGAACGCACAUUGCGCCCCUUGGUAUUCCGAGGGGCAUGCCUGUUCGAGCGUCAUUAUAACCCCUCAAGCUCAGCUUGGUGUUGGGGCCUGCUGCACUGGCAGCCCUUAAAAUCAGUGGCGGCGCCAUCUGGCUCUAAGCGUAGUAAUUCUUCUCGCUAUGGAGUCCUGGUGGAUGCUUGCCAUCAACCCCCAAUUUUUCUAUGGUUGACCUCGGAUCAGGUAGGGAUACCCGCUGAACUUAAGCAUAUCAAUAAGCGGAGG
rnacentral:misc_RNA from 1 species